UGGGGAAUAUUGCACAAUGGGCGCAAGCCUGAUGCAGCCAUGCCGCGUGUGUGAAGAAGGCCUUCGGGUUGUAAAGCACUUUCAGCGGGGAGGAAGGCGAUAAGGUUAAUAACCUUGUCGAUUGACGUUACCCGCAGAAGAAGCACCGGCUAACUCCGUGCCAGCAGCCGCGGUAAUACGGAGGGUGCAAGCGUUAAUCGGAAUUACUGGGCGUAAAGCGCACGCAGGCGGUUUCUUAAGUCUGAUGUGAAAGCCCCCGGCUCAACCGGGGAGGGUCAUUGGAAACUGGGAGACUUGAGUGCAGAAGAGGAGAGUGGAAUUCCAUGUGUAGCGGUGAAAUGCGUAGAUAUAUGGAGGAACACCAGUGGCGAAGGCGGCUCUCUGGUCUGUAACUGACGCUGAGGCUCGAAAGCGUGGGGAGCAAACAGG
rnacentral:rRNA from 1 species